rnacentral:rRNA from 1 species
GACGAACGCUGGCGGCGUGCUUAACACAUGCAAGUCGAACGGAAAGGCCCUGCUUUUGUGGGGUGCUCGAGUGGCGAACGGGUGAGUAACACGUGAGUAACCUGCCCUUGACUUUGGGAUAACUUCAGGAAACUGGGGCUAAUACCGGAUAGGAGCUCCUGCUGCAUGGUGGGGGUUGGAAAGUUUCGGAGGUUGGGGAUGGACUCGCGGCUUAUCAGCUUGUUGGUGGGGUAGUGGCUUACCAAGGCUUUGACGGGUAGCCGGCCUGAGAGGGUGACCGGCCACAUUGGGACUGAGAUACGGCCCAGACUCCUAAGGGAGGCAGCAGUGGGGAAUAUUGCACAAUGGGCGGAAGCCUGAUGCAGCAACGCCGCGUGCGGGAUGACGGCCUUCGGGUUGUAGACCGCUUUCGCCUGUGACGAAGCGUGAGUGACGGUAAUGGGUAAAGAAGCACCGGCUAACUACGUG